rnacentral:lncRNA from 12 species
AAAAUCAGGCUCCUGGUCCCACCCCACACUCAGGAGCAGAGCAUGUGCAAACGGGAGCCCGCGCCCCUGCUCCCGGACCCCAUCAGGCCCCCACCCCAAGGCCAGGGGCAGGCCCAAAUGUACCUCGGGCAUCCCAGAAGGAGCAUCUUUCUGAGGAGGUCCCAGGCUGGUGGUCAGAAGAGAGUCCCAGAUCUUUCACAAGCCACAGUUAAACAGAGAAAAUGACCUCAGAGCCCACAGAGGGGGAUCCCUGGACCAGCAGUGAAGGGACCCACCGGAAUCCUGGUGAUCUGCUGAGGAUGUGCCACCACUUGGCUGCAGGUUUCUUUCUUUACAUUUUAAGAUAAGGGGAUGGACUAGAUGAGCCCCAAGGUCCCUUCAGACCCAUUGGCCAUGAACCCAUGCCAAUGCCUAUCCCACCCAUUCUCCAAAAAAAAAGGAUUUACUCAUCUGUAUUCUGAAAAAAAAAAAAAAAAAGAAAGAAAGAAGAAAGAAAGAAAGAAAGAAAGAAAGAAAGAAAGAAAGAAAGAAAGAAAGAAAGAAAGAAAGAAAAAAGAAAAGGGUCUCUCUUCUAGCCCCCUGCCUUCCAAUCUGGCACAGGUUCAGGGCAAGUGCUGAAGCCUGGAUGUGUGCUGGGAAACAGGCUGCUGCACAGUCCCCUGGCAUCUUGGGAUGGGGUCAGACCACACCCCACCUGCUUCGUCCCACCCCACCCUGCUCCACCCGACAGAGUGAGCACCUGUGCCCGCCGCAACUGCCUGCAAGAAUUCAAGUCCGGGACCAACGCUGAGCAGAGAUCAGUUCAACUGUAUCACUGCGAGUUCGUGACCUGCUGUCAAAGUGGAGCUUCUUUGCAAAUGUCUUUGCAAAUGUUUUUCUCCUCCUCUGAGCCCUGGGUCCUAAACCCUCAUAGCUCCUUUCUUCCAACUGGCCAAGUUGGACUAGCGAACCUCCAAAGGAUGGGUAUGACUAAACACGCGCCAUGCCUGCAACUGUUGAAGCCAGUGAAUAAAAUGGGUUCAAUUGCUCUGGCUAAGGACAGGGUGGAAAUUUGGGGCGGGGUGAGGAAUGUGAAAAUGAACAAGAUAAUUAUUUUAGUGUCUUUUAUAGAUCGCAUGUCACUCUGUUAGCUUAGGAGCAUUAAAAAUGUAUAACGUAGGGCUUGUUCUGCUCAUAAAAUGAUCCUCUUUGGCAUAUUAAAAUUUAAAGUAUAGUUUAUUCACGCACUAAUUACACUUUUACUAAUUGAAUUUACCUUUAAAUAUUUCAAAGUUUUGUAAUAAAUCGAGCUACAAGAUACUGAGCCUCA